rnacentral:tRNA from 1 species
AUCUGGCUGGCUCAGUUGGUAGAGCAUCUGACUCUUGAUCUCAGGGUCGUGAGUUUGAGUCUCAUGUUGGGUG